CCUACGGGGGGCAGCAGUGGGGAAUAUUGCGCAAUGGGCGAAAGCCUGACGCAGCGACGCCGCGUGAGGGAUGAAGGUCCUCGGAUCGUUAACCUCUGUCAGCAGGGAAGAACGGUCACUGUGCUAAUCAGCAGUGAAUUGACGGUACCUGCAAAGGAAGCACCGGCUAACUCCGUGCCAGCAGCCGCGGUAAUACGGAGGGUGCGUGCGUUAAUCGGAAUUACUGGGAGUAAAGCGCUCGUAGGCGGUAUGUCAAGUCAAGGGUGAAAUCCCCGCGCUCAACGUGGGAACUGCCUUUGAAACUGGGAAACUGGAGUGUGUGAGAGGAUAGGGGAAUUCCAGGUGUAGGAGUGAAAUCCGUAGAUAACUGGAGGAACAUCAGUGGCGAAGGCGACUAUCUGGCACAUAACUGACGCUGAGGAGCGAAAGCGUGGGUAGCAAACAGGAUUAGAUACCCCAGUAGUC
rnacentral:rRNA from 1 species